GCCGCAACCGCAACAGCUUCAAGCUUAGCCGUGUGCCGCUCUCCACUGUGCUUCUGGACCCCACACGCAGCUGCACUCAGCCGAGGGGCGCCUUCGCAGACGGCCACGUGCUUGAGCUGCUUGUGGGCUACCGCUUUGUCACCGCCAUCUUCGUGCUGCCCCAUGAGAAGUUCCACUUCCUGCGCAUCUACAACCAGCUGCGGGCCUCACUGCAGGACCUGAAGACUGUAGUCAUCGCCAAGACCCCUGCAACCGGGGGCAGGCCUCAGAGCCCCCCUGUGGAUGGCCAGGCUGCCGAGGACGGGGCCCGCAGCAAUGAGCAGCAUCUCCAGGAGGUCCCGGCAGAGGCUCCAGCUCCAGCCCCAGCCCCAGCCCCAGCGGAGGUCCCAGCUCUAACCCCAGCAAAGACCCCAGCUCCGGCAGAGCCCUCAGUGCCAGCUUUGGUCCCAGCGGAGGCCCCAGCCUCAGCAGAGACCCCUUUGGAGGCCUCAGUGGGGGCCUCAGCCCCGGCAGUGGAGGCCCCAGCACAAGUGGAGGCCCCCGCCCAGUACCCAAGUGAGCACUUGAUCCGGUCCACGUCAGAGGAGAAUCAGAUCCCUUCGCACCUGCCCGCCUGCCCGUCACUCCGGCACAUCGCCAGCCUGCAGGGGAGCGCCAUCGUCGAGUUCUUCCACAGCAGCGUUGCCGAGAUUUCUGGCAUCAGAAAAACGCCGACUACAACAACAGUCCCUUCCACAUCUCUCAGUGCUUUGUUUUAAAACUCAGCGACCUGCAUGUAGUCAACGUUGGACUCUUUGACCAGUAUUUCCGGCUGACGGGCUCCUCUCCGGCGCAGGUGGUUACAUGCUUGACACGGGACAGCUACCUGACACACUGCUUCCUCCAGCACCUCAUGGCCGUGCUCUCCUUGCUGGAACGCACACCCUCACCUGAGCCUGUCGACAAAGACUUCUACUCUGAGUUUGGAAACAAGACCACAGGGAAGAUGGAGAACUAUGAGCUGAUCCACUCAAGCCGUGUCAAGUUCACCUACCCCAGUGAGGAGGAGGUCGGGGACCUGACAUUCACUGUGGCCCAGAAGGUGGCUGACCCAGAGAAGGCGCCAUCCCUCAGCAUCCUGCUGUACGUGCAGGCCUUCCAGGUGGGCACACCACUGUCUGGGCGCUGCAGGGGCAUGUUGCGCCCCAAAACGCUCCUGCUCACCAGCGCCGAGAUCUUCCUCCUGGACGAGGACUUCGUCCACUACCCGCUGCCCGAGUUCGCCAAAGAGCCGCCACAGAGGGACCGGUACCGGCUGGAUGACGGCCGCCGCAUCCGGGACCUGGACCGCGUGCUCAUGGGCUACCAGACAUACCCACAGGCCCUCACCCUGGUCUUUGACGACGUGCAGGGCCACGACCUCAUGGGCAGCGUCACCCUGGACCACUUUGGGGAGGUGCCAGGUGGCCCGGCUAGAGGCGGCCAGGGCCGUGAGGUCCAGUGGCAGGUGUUUGUCCCCAGCGCUGAGAGCCGAGAGAAGCUCAUCUCGCUGUUGGCCCGCCAGUGGGAGGCCCUUUGUGGCCGGGAGCUGCCCGUGGAGCUCACUGGCUAGCCCGGGUUGUGGCUGGCCCUUGCCACCCGCCGUGUCUGGCCUGGUGUCCACUCAGGGCCGGGAAGCAGGCUUUCUUUGCUUUUUUAAAAUGUUUUCUCUUCUCUUUCGGUACCUUUGUUUGAUUGUCCUCCCAGAGAAUGUGAACAUGUGUGUUCAGUUGGUUCUCAGCCUCCCGCGGAUCUGCUGCCUGCCCCUGGUGCCGCGUGGCCAGGCACACCAGUUUCGUGUCUUUCGUGGGACCGUUGUUAACAUGUGGCGCCGUGGGUCUGGUUUACUCUUCUACGUGUCCUUUCCCGAGAUGUUAAGUUCAGUCUUGUUGCUGUUGCUGUCAUUGUGGGCACUUGCUGCUAACUAUGAAGCUGGCAGAGAAAUGCACAUUGAAAGCUCCCGCUCCAUGCAGUUUUCCAAAGGGGAGGCCUCUCCUGGUCCAGAGAAGUGGGAGAGCCCCAUGGGGGCAGGAGUCCCCCAGGCCUUGGGGCUGAGAGGGCUGGGAGCAGGGGACCUAGAGCUGCCAGCACCAAGUGUGAUUCCUGUUGCCUAUUUUCUCUAUUCCAGUAAAGCCAAGUUUGACACAG
ensembl:lncRNA